UUUCAAGAUGGCUGUGAGUAAUCAACAAAGUAUGGAUACGGGCUCAAUUUCUAGCCGUGUAGACGUGGACAGCCCGCCUUUUUCGCGUAUUUUCAUAGUCUGUAGUAAAAAGCACUCGUCGGAAGACAUGAGAGCCGCAUUCGAACAAUUUGGCACCAUUGAAGAUAUCUGGGUUGUGAAGGACAAACAGACGAAAGAAAAUCGUGGCGUGUGUUACAUAAAGUUCGCCAAAGCGUCUUCGGCAGCUCGAGCUUGCGAAGAAAUGGAUGGAAAAAUUAUUGCAGAUGAUCCUAAACCAAUUAAGGCGAUGAUUGCCCAGUCUAAAGGUUCAGGCUCUAAAACAGAUUUUCAUGAUGAAACAGCACUGACCCGUUUAUUCAUCAUCUGUCCAAAAGAGUACACAGAGGAUAACUUACGUCAAAAAUUCCAGGACUUUGGGGAGAUAGAGUAUGUCCAAAUUGUACGUGACCAUAAAACUGGUGAAAACAAAGGUUUUGGAUAUGUUAAGUUCAGGAAGUCAUCUGCAGCAGCUGUUGCACUUGAGAACUGUGACAAGACUCUUAAAGCUGUUUGGGCUGAGCCCAAAUCAGCUAAAAUUGCCAGAAAUGCAGCAGCUGCAGCAGCAGCCAUGCAAUCUACAUUAAUCCCACACAAUCCAUUUCUAGAGGUAAAUAAUUACCCUCAGGCUGCGGCAGCACCAGUCAGCAGCCAUACAGUCAGCAUGAAUGUGAAUAAUGCUGCAUCGCUUCAGGGAGUUGCAGAUUACUAUGGAACUCAAAACCCUGUAGCAGCAGUUGCAGAGUCUAUUACAACGUCACAUACCCCCACCAGGCUGUUUGUUAAAGUGUCCCCUAUGAUAGGGGCAGAGCAAUUAUCGCGCUUGUUUGACAUCAUUCCUGGUAUGCAGAUGUGCGAUUUGAAGCGGAAUUAUGGCACUGGAGAAUCUAAGGGCUUUGCUUAUGUCACAUACAACUCUGUAGGAUCUGCAAUCUAUGCUAAGGAAAAACUCAAUGGGUUUGAAUACCCAUUGGGCUCAAAGCUUGUGGUAAAAUAUGCGGAAGAUCCUCCUGGAAUGCGCAGUAAUGGUACAGGGCAGGGUAGUGACACAGCUUUUCAGAUUCAGUCGCACGGCUCUAAAUCAUCUCUCACUGGUGGCUCAUAUGCAGUGGACUACUCUACUGCUGUCUACACUUCAGCAGCUCUUCCAGCACCAUCUCCUUUGGCAGAUCCAACCUCUGAGGUUGUUUCAAGACUGUUUAUUGUUUGUCAACCAGCCCCACCACCAGAAAGUGCCCUUAAGGAUGUCUUCAGCAGGUUUGGGAACCUGAUUGAUGUUUGGAUGAUGAAAGAUCGUAACUUUGGUUAUGCCAAGUUUGCAAGCAAGGAGUCUGCAGAUGCAGCCAUUGAAGGAAUGCAUGGCCAUGAAGUUCUUGGUAUGAAGUUGAAGGUGAUGCAUGCUGAUCCACCCAAGUCAGAAGCGUCCAGAAAACGACCUCGCACAUGAUGUUAGAACAGCAGAAUUACACAACUAGCAUUUUCAUCCUCACAGACUAAGGUAUCAAAGGAGAAGAGAAAAACGAAGCCGUGAUGUAGGAUGAUGUGCAGCAAGUCAGAAUGUAACAACAAAGCGCUUUCAUUGCCUCGUCUACACAUCGGAAAUCGCAUUUCCAGAUUCUUAUUUGAAUGAAACUAUAUUGACGAAGAAGGCGGCUCGUACGAAACGGAAAGAAUGAGAAGCAGUACAACUGACACAACUCCUUCUUGAGGACGUGAUAUCGCUGUACAAUGUGAAUGGAUUCGUCUUUAAGGAAAACACUUGGAUAUAUACCCUGGCUAAAAGGAUGAAUAGUUUUACUGUGAGAGAAGUUUUGAAUUGAGUGUCGAUAAACCAAAAGACCAAUCAGAGCAAAGGUUGACAUCAUCGUUAACCAAUGAGAACUCAAAGUAAAAACAGGCAACCUGCUUAAAACGCGGGAAAACACGAGUGACCAAGUUGGGACUAGUUUUAGUGUUGCAUUUGAUUGGUUGAGAUGGUGGCACGAGUUUUCUCGACCAAUCAUAGAGCAAAGCUAUCCAGAAUCGCUUUCGAUACUCAAUUUAAGACUGCCUUAUCUACCAUGCAAGCAGGUUUCCCGACUGUAGACAACUGAUUAAAGAUAUAUGGAUUGCCUUGUAUCACUAUUUUUCCAAUCGGUGGUGAAAAAAGUGUUAUGGGACCACAAGAAUGAAGAAGAAUGCAAUUUACAUAUUUUUUUAAAAUUACUGAUUACAAAGCCAAUUAAAAUACCGUGUCUUUCUGGUUAAACAAACGAACUUCGAGUAACCGUGUAUUUUGGUCGGUCCUGUAUCUAUUUUAUGUAUAUCCUUUUAAAAUUCCUUUAAGAUGCAAAGACAUUCUGCACUUUGUUUGCUACACCGGCACCUAGGGGUUCUAUGAUUCCGUCCGUUUUUCCUCUGCCUUACAACCAGUGCUGAUGGUAUCUCAUAUUGUCGGUUCGCGUAAACAUACUUCGUCGUGUGACGUGAACGACCUCAAAUAAUUCAGCACCUCGAGGGAUUAUUCAUAAAUAGUAUGGAAAAAUAUGGUACGUCGAGAUAAAUGAUAUGACUAAUGCAUUCCGCGUACAUUGUCUUUAAAAAUUAAGAAAAUGACUGUGGUUUCUCAGUCGCUACG